rnacentral:tRNA from 1 species
UAGAUUGAAGCCAGUUGUGUUGGGCGUUUAGCUGUUAACUAAAUUUUUGUAGGUUUGAGUCCUGCCAGUCUAG